GAUUCUGGCUCCGAAAACGUCUGGUGUAGUUUCUCUUCUCAAUGCAGCACGGCGAGCUAGACUCCUAAGCGUUCUGGGUCGAUAAUCCUCAACGAUACGUUAUGGGUUGCGGAUUUGGGUCUGGGUCGCGCCACCUGUUUUGGUGACGCCGGAUGGGCCAACCGUUGCUUCUGAACGAGGCAGUUAUGCUCGUUAACUGCAGAGGACGAAGCACGGUCGUGAUCGCUCAACUGGAGGCACUUUGGCUAUCUGCACGCAAGAGACAGUAUAGACCACGUCUUUUGGGGCAUCUCUACACCCCUCGGGGCUCGAACGAAGGGAACUUGAUCGAUCUGGAGGUAUGCAUCCGCAUUUGGCUGCAGAGAAGAUUCACUGAUAGCAGCGCUGGAUGCCGCACCUGGUAUUUGGCGCCCGCGAGCCCGCUUCAACGAAGGUGAUGAAGUCGUAUCGUACGGAUCCAUGGAUAUCUGGGGCAACGAGGAGAACGGGAGCCAUUCAAGAGGACGGAUAGCCCGGGUGGAAUCGUUGAUGGCAGAGGCGUCGCAGGCAUCUUCCGCUGGUGGCAAUGGUGAUCCGGCAUGGGAAGUCUGAAAACGCUGUAUUGGAGGACGCUGCAGCAUUGCAAGGCCUGCUGGCCUCGUUUCAAGGACAACGAUAAAUACGACAUACACGUGAAGCAGCAGUCUAGUUAGCGUGCUCGAUCUAUGAACCAUCCGCGAGCGAGAGCACGUUGGUAAGACGUGCGCAGCCCAUGUCUUGAGACACAGACGCCUGCUCCAAUGCAGCCUCGCUAAAAAAAAGGUGCGACGACACUACGCCAGGAAACAACUGUCGUGAAACGACACUCAGGGGCCGCGAGCCCACAAGGGUCCUACUCCUGGCUACGAAGCUGCAGAUAGUCACCUGCGAGCCGGUUCUGAGCCCCCCUUGAGGAGAAUGAAAACCGGCUGACGUUGGCGGUCUAUGUCAAAGCGGGUGCCCUGUGGCACCGACGCGGACGACGACACUCAGAGCUUUCGCUUCUGAGCCAUCUGUUUCACACCUAUCGCGUCUGUAGGUGUGGAACCAGAGGCACCGAAACGUCUUCCGCAAGCGCGCCUAACGGCCUUGUACUCCAAGAACUACGGCACGGAGUGCGCUCGUGAGUAGGUUCGCUUCUGACUCGUUUUCAUCCAGCAAGCUCGGCGGAGCAGAACUCGCCCAAACCGCAACGAGUAACGGUUUGCGUGUACAUAGCUCCCCAAAGGUCCAGCAAGUAAACCGAACGCCUCCGGAGAGCGAAUCAAGUGACGCGCAAGGGAAAUGGGGGGAAACCCACUCUGUCCGCGGGAGUAGACACUCAGCGGUACCGUUGCACCGUACUGUGUGAUCUUCCAGCGGACGCCCACAGAGACGUCACAAGUGUCGGCUCCGUGUGCGUCGCUGGCCCAAGACAGAG